UACGUAGGGGGCAAGCGUUGUCCGGAUUGACUGGGCGUAAAGCGCACGCAGGCGGCCGCGCGCGUGGGGUGUGAAAUCUGGCCGCUUAACGGCCAGGCGCCAUCCCAUACGGCGCGGCUGGAGCCAUGCAGAGGGCGGUGGAAUUGCCGGUGUAGUGGUGAAAUGCGUAGAGAUCGGGAGGAACACCUGUGGCGAAGGCGGCCCCCUGGGCCGGACCUGACGCUGAGACGCGAAGGCGCGGGGAGCGAACGGG
rnacentral:rRNA from 1 species